rnacentral:rRNA from 1 species
GAUGAACGCUAGCGGCAGGCCUAACACAUGCAAGUCGAGGGGUAAAGGAAGCUUGCUUCCUUGAGACCGGCGCACGGGUGCGUAACGCGUAUGCAAUCUACCUUGUACAGAGGAAUAGCCCAGAGAAAUUUGGAUUAAUGCCUCAUAGUAUAAUUGAAUCGCAUGGUUUAAUUAUUAAAGUUUCGGCGGUACAAGAUGAGCAUGCGUCCCAUUAGUUAGUUGGUAAGGUAACGGCUUACCAAGACAAUGAUGGGUAGGGGUCCUGAGAGGGAGAUCCCCCACACUGGUACUGAGACACGGACCAGACUCCUACGGGUGGCUG